rnacentral:rRNA from 1 species
GACGAACGCUGGCGGCGUGCUUAACACAUGCAAGUCGAACGGGCCUUGUCCCCUUUUUUUUUUUGGGGUGGGGUUAGUGGCGAACGGGUGAGUAACACGUGAGUAACCUGCCCCUCACUUCGGGAUAACCGCCUGAAAGGGUGGCUAAUACGGGGUGUUCUAGCCUGCCCGCUUGGGUGGGUUUGGAAGGUUGCGCCCGGUUUUGGUUGGUUUGGGGGGGGAGGGGCUCGCGGCCUUUCGGCUUGUUGGGGGGGUGAUGGCCUGCCAAGGCUUUGACGGGUCGCCGGCCUGAGAGGGUGGGGGGUCACACUGGGACUGAGACACGGCCCAGACUCCCACGGGAGGCAGGAGUGGGGAAUAUUGCACAAGGGGCGAAAGCCUGAUGCAGCGACGCCGCGUGAGGGAUGGAGGCCUUGGGGUUGUGAACCUCUUUCGCGAGUGAAGAAGGUCCUGCUCUUUGUGGUGGGGUUGACGGUGGCUGGGUUAAUGAAGCGCCGGCUAACUACGUG